GUAAAGGUGGUGUAUUAGGUACCGAAGUAGUCGUGGACUAGAAAUCCAUUGGGGUCUCUCCGCGCAGGUUCGAAUCCUGCCGACUACG